rnacentral:rRNA from 1 species
AUUGAACGCUGGCGGCAGGCCUAACACAUGCAAGUCGAGCGGAGCGGCGGACGGGUGCGUAUUGCUUAGGAAUCUGACUGUUAGUGGGGGAUAACGUUCGCAAACGGGCGCUAAUACCGCAUACUCUCAGAUGAGCCUAGGUCGGAUUAGCUAGUUGGUGGGGUAAAGGUCUACCAAGGCGACGAUCCGUAACUGGUCUGAGAGGAUGAUCAGUCACACUGGAACUGAGACACGGUCCAGACUCCUACGGGAGGCAGCAGUGGGGAAUAUUGGACAAUGGGCGAAAGCCUGAUCCAGCCAUGCCGCGUGUGUGAAGAAGGUCUUCGGAUUGUAAAGCACUUUAAGUUGGGAGGCGUUACCAACAGAAGAAGCACCGGCUAACUUCGUGCCAGCAGCCGCGGUAAUAC